GGAAGGAUCAUUAACAAGAUUCUGUGCCUCGAUCUAGUCGCAAGACUGUUCGGGGCAUAUUAGUUCGAGGCAGCAAUGUCUCGUUACACAUUCACGCUUGUAUUGUUUGACAGAGUAAUGAUGUUGACAUAAUUAAUGACAACUUUUAACAAUGGAUCUCUUGGCUCUUGCAACGAUGAAGAACGCAGUAAAGUGCGAAAUGUAGUGCGAUUUGCAUGAAUCUGUGAGUCAUCUAAUCUUUGAACGCAACUUGCGCCUCUUUGAGGCAUGUCUGUUCGAGUACCGCAUCCUUAUUAUGCGUGUAUAUGCGAGAUGAUCUAGUAGUCAUUACUAGAUUUAAACGGAGCAAGUAAGGGAAGAGUUUGAUAUCUCUAAUGAGCUAGAGACGCAAGUCUUGUCAUUGGAGCUAUUGACCUUGUUCCUUUCUUCUUGACUUUGGUCUCGAAUCAGGCAAGACUACCCGCUGAACUUAAGCAUAUCAGUAAGCGGAGGAAAAGAAACUAACUAGGAUUCCCUCAGUAACGGCGAGUGAAGCGGGAAAAGCUCAAAUUUGAAAUCUCGGCAGUUUCUGCCGCGAAUUGUAGUCUAAAGAAGGCGAUCUAGGUGGGAUCGGCUGUCCAAGUCCUUUGGAACAAGGCGCCAGAGAGGGUGAGAGCCCCGUAAAGACAGUUGGUCCUACUCAAGUGAGAACCUUUCAACGAGUCGAGUUGUUUGGGAAUGCAGCUCAAAGUGGGUGGUAAAUCUCAUCUAAGGCUAAAUAUUGGCAAGAGACCGAUAGCGAACAAGUACCGUGAGGGAAAGAUGAAAAGCACCUUGAAAAGGGAGUUAAACAGUACGUGAAAUUGUUAAAAGGGAAACGAUUGAGAUCAGUGUUGGCGUGUAUUCAAUUGGGUGCCUUGGUGCCCGAAGCGAUGCACGCCGAGUCAAUGCCAGUUGUGGGCGCCGGAUACGUGCAGAGGAAGGUGGGGCCCCUCUUCGGAGAGGCUCUUUAUAGACUCUGAUUACUACGGCGGCUGCGACUGGAAGGGAAACAACGUCGGCGGCAAUGGGUGAAGCAAGACCAAGUGGCUGCAUGCAGACACUUGUCCUAGAUCAUUCUGAGCUACUGCCCGAGUAACCCGUCUUUGACGAAAUGGUCUUAAACGACCCGUCUUGAAACACGGACCAAGGAGUCUAACAAUGUUGCGAGCAUUAGAGUGGUAAACUCGAGAUGCGCAAUGAAAGUGAAAGCCUGCGAGCAUUUGCGCAGCAGGGACCGGCCCGGAUAUAUUUUGAAAGGACCGAGUAUGAGCAGGAUUGUUGGGACCCGAAAGGCGGUGAACUAUGCCUGACUAGGGCGAAGCCAGAGGAAACUCUGGUGGAGGCUCGUAGCCGUUCUGACGUGCAAAUCGAUGGUAAAAGUUGGGUAUAGGGGCGAAAGACUAAUCGAACCGCCUAGUAGCUGGUUCCCUC
rnacentral:misc_RNA from 1 species